rnacentral:rRNA from 1 species
UACAGAGGGUGCGAGCGUUGUCCGGAAUCACUGGGCGUAAAGGGCGCGUAGGCGGUGACUUAAGCGUGUGGUGAAAGCUCGGGGCUCAACCCCGAGUCGGCCGUGCGAACUGGGUCACUGGAGCAUGUCAGAGGCGGGCGGAAUUCCGGGUGUAGCGGUGGAAUGCGUAGAGAUCCGGAAGAACACCGGUGGCGAAGGCGGCCCGCUGGGACAUGGCUGACGCUGAGGCGCGACAGCGUGGGGAGCAAACAGG